rnacentral:rRNA from 1 species
AUUGAACGCUGGCGGCAGGCCUAACACAUGCAAGUCGAGCGGCAGCGGAAAGUAGCUUGCUACUUUGCCGGCGAGCGGCGGACGGGUGAGUAAUGUCUGGGAAACUGCCUGAUGGAGGGGGAUAACUACUGGAAACGGUAGCUAAUACCGCAUAACGUCGCAAGACCAAAGAGGGGGACCUUCGGGCCUCUUGCCAUCAGAUGUGCCCAGAUGGGAUUAGCUAGUAGGUGGGGUAAUGGCUCACCUAGGCGACGAUCCCUAGCUGGUCUGAGAGGAUGACCAGCCCCACUGGAACUGAGACACGGUCCAGACUCCUACGGGAGGCAGCAGUGGGGAAUAUUGCACAAUGGGCGCAAGCCUGAUGCAGCCAUGCCGCGUGUAUGAAGAAGGCCUUCGGGUUGUAAAGUACUUUCAGCGGGGAGGAAGGUGUUGAGGUUAAUAACCUCAGCAAUUGACGUUACCCGCAGAAGAAGCACCGGCUAACUCCGUGCCAGCCGCCGCCGUAA